ACUUUCUUAGUAUAAUUAGUACUACUGACUUCCAAUCAGUAAGCCUCACAACACAAAGUGAGAGAGAGUA
rnacentral:tRNA from 1 species